rnacentral:misc_RNA from 1 species
UACGUAGGUGGCAAGCGUUGUCCGGAUUUACUGGGCGUAAAGAGCGCGCAGGCGGCUGGUCAAGUCCGAUGUGAAAUCUCCCGGCUCAACUGGGAAACUGCAUCGGAAACUGAUCGGCUUGAAGGUGGGAGAGGGCAGUGGAAUUCCCGGUGUAGUGGUGAAAUGCGUAGAUAUCGGGAGGAACACCAGUGGCGAAGGCGACUGCCUGGCCCAUUCUUGACGCUGAGGCGCGAAAGCUAGGGGAGCGAACGGG